AACGAACGCUGGCGGCAUGCCUAACACAUGCAAGUCGAACGAGACCUUCGGUCUAGUGGCGCACGGGUGCGUAACGCGUGGGAAUCCGCCCUUGGGUUCGGAAUAACAGCGAGAAAUUGCUGCUAAUACCGGAUGAUGACGUAAGUCCAAAGAUUUAUCGCCCAAGGAUGAGCCCGCGUAGGAUUAGCUAGUUGGUGAGGUAAAAGGCUCACCAAGGCGACGAUCCUUAGCUGGUCUGAGAGGAUGAUCAGCCACACUGGGACUGAGACACGGCCCAGACUCCUACGGGAGGCAGCAGUGGGGAAUAUUGGACAAU
rnacentral:rRNA from 1 species